rnacentral:antisense_RNA from 1 species
CUUGAUCGAGCCGAGCCACAGCGGACGGUCGGCCGGCCGCUGCUGGCCGUAGGUCGCGAGCAGGGCCUGCGCCUC